UUUAUAUACAAUAAUAGCAUUGUAGCGGGUAUAGUUUAGUGGUAAAAA
rnacentral:tRNA from 1 species